GCCCAGGCAAAGUACGUCACCUGACCUGUGAUUCGAAACACAACAUCGAAGUGGGCCCUGAACUAUCACUUGAGCCGUUCAGAACUGGCUCUGGCUGUCAGCGAUACUCAGGCCAUCAAGGCCCAGGCGGAACUGAACGGCGCCAUUGUCCGCACCAAUCUGCUGACCCGCUACGAGCAAGUUCUCACUGGCCGAGAUGUACGAAUAUCUGGAGAGAGCGGCACAACACAGAGAACGGCUGCAAAUAUCGGAAGCACAGGGAACAUAAUGUGGUGGAAUAAGAUGAAUCCAACUAUUAACAAUCCACGUU